CACGUAGGGGGCAAGCGUUGUCCGGAUUUAUUGGGCGUAAAGAGCUCGUAGGCGGCUUAGUAAGUCGGGUGUGAAACCUCCAGGCUCAACCUGGAGACGCCACCCGAUACUGCUGUGACUAGAGUCCGGUAGGGGAGCGUGGAAUUCCUGGUGUAGCGGUGAAAUGCGCAGAUAUCAGGAGGAACACCAGCGGCGAAGGCGGCGCUCUGGGCCGGUACUGACGCUGAGGAGCGAAAGCAUGAGGAGCGAACAGG
rnacentral:rRNA from 1 species